UUCAAAGGGUAGCAUAUGUGGUCUCCACGGGUCGAAGGUCGAACAACCCUGCAAUACCCAAGGUCACUAAAAGUAACCAACAAUGCGUCACCAUAUUGACAAUGUCAAAAUUAAAAGAAACGCCUUCGUCUAAGAGCCUUACACAUUAAUGGAAAGCCAUAAUUCAUGUAACUAUAGGGGUAUGGUUAAUCAUGUAUUUUAAUUAAAGGUUAUUUGGGAUUUUUUGCUUUUACAUGUAGAGAAAAAAAUCAAGAUUAAUAUUUAGGUAGUGACGCAUAUAUAUAAAAUUAGUUUUUCCCUGUGUGUUUGGUUUUAGCUUUUUCGAACUUUUUCCCUUCCUUGCUACAUGAGAAAAGAAGAACAAAAACUGCGGCUAUGUGUUCCAGGCCGACUGCACUCUCAGUCUAAUUUCUCUUUCUUCUCCCUGUCCAUUGAAAAGGGAAAAGGUUUUUGUGGUUUUCUGGAGAAAUAAAGAACUUCUUAGAGAGGUCGGCCGACGUGACUUUGAACUUGGAUCAGAUCCUGUGUUUCCUGUGGAGAGGGUAGAAAUAGUCUUAGAAGAAUGGUACAUAACGUUCAAACAGCAUGGCUUUGAGCUGAGGCACACAGAAUUCCCAAAGUUUUAUACAUCCUCCGCCCUAUUAUUUACAGCUUAAAGCGUUCGGAGGAGAGGAAAGACAAGACAAAGUGUGUUGUGCGUUGGAACAGGACUUCAUGGGACUAUAUAUUCAUUGAAAUUGCAGCAGAAGGUGUCACCUUCAUCGGACCUGACACACAUGCUACUCAAACCAUGGGAGACAAGAUCAGGGGCAAAUUAAUCGCUGAGAUGCCAAGGUCAGUGUUGUGGCCCUAUGUGUUGUGGGCUGGUCAAGGUGAGCAGCAGACACACGUCUAUUCUUUCAGCCACCUCAAAUGACUCAUCUCACGUCUGUCAUACCGUCACGAUGGCAUCAACACUGAUGUGUGUGUUUAUAAAGACUAGGUGUUGUCAGUGAGCUGUCAGCUCUGGGAAUAACAAAUUAGGUCUUUUUUAUGUGUUGCCACUAUGGCAAAAUAUUACCUCCCUUGGAAUGCGAUCCAGGAACUUGUUGUUUGCAGAUGGAAAUGUGUGCGUGUAGUAGGAAGGGCCGUUGCUAAUGAGGGAUGUUUUGAAAACAUUUAAAGCCCUAAUGAUGGUGCUGCAAGAGCAAAGCCUCUUCCGGGGGCUGUGAUUUAAGAUAGUUCGAGGCUGUGGAAAAAUAGUUUCACCCAAUUUCAUUCUUGCAUUCCUGUUGUUAAAAUAUUGGGGUUAGAGGCUAACACAAAGAUGAGGAGGUGAACAACCCUGCCGUAUACGUGUGUUUUUAAAGCAAAGAGUAUUAAAGCUCCUUCAAUAGCAGCCCGAGCGUUUUCUCACUUCUCCAUUUUGUCUCGAGAGCACUUAAUUGUCUGCAUUUGGCAAGUUUAACACUUCCUGACUCGAGUGGCCUCACUUGAAUGUCUUUGCAUAGCUUUUGGGGACAAAAGGAAGGCCUAGAUGCAGAAAACACACACACACACACACACAAGCAUGCAAAUAUAUAUAAAAAAAAUCCAUAGUGACCAAAUUAAACAUGCCAAGAGAAAAUUUCCCACCGAGAAAUUUUGAGAUUUUAGCUGCGCCUAGUUCUGUCCGCCAGCCAAUUUUCCAUCAGGAAUCUCUCAUUAGCAGAUGUUUUUGGCCACAACACACACACACCUCAGUGUGAUCUGGUGAACCCUAAAUUUAACAAGCGCUUAGCAGAGCAGACGAGUUAAUGAAAGGAAAUGACCUUUUCUGCCAAUUUCCCCCUUCCAUUCAGGUGCUUUUUUAUGUUGCGAUUUAAAAUGACAGAUAUUUUUAUUUUGUACUGAAUAAACUGCUGAAUCUUUCCUAUGUUUCAUUAUUUCUGGGAAGCGCAUGAGUCAGGUAUAACUGCCGUCAGAUGGUCACAAUUACAUCUUGCUUGACCUGCUUUCCAAGACUUAUUGCCCACUUUAUCGUUUUAAAGAGGUGUCUGAAACUGAAAUUUAAUUUUUAAUUCGCUUUCAUGUACAUCCUUUUUUAACAGCGUUAGAGUUGCUAAUAUCUUGAAGAAUUGUCCUUGAUUGAUUACUGUUCACAGUCCUGGCAUCUAUUCUCAACUUAAACUGCAAUCUGUUUGCUUACUCAUUUUAGUAGCCGGCGAUUCAGGAUGAAGUUUAUUUACACCACUGUCAUCUGUUCCCUUCAAAGCAGCAAAGCCGAUGAUUUCCACAUAAGAGCAGUGGGGAGACUCGGGUAGACGGCCCCUCCAGAGCCCGCUGAAGUGAAGCCGUAGUUGGGUAUGUUGGCUGGUCUCGCCCGGCAGCCCCACAGCAGGCUUGAAGCCUCUUCUAUCUCUGCUUCCAAUCAAUAGAAGAGCUGCUCCCCCUGCUGCCUGUCCCAUGCUACAACUUCCUCUUUUCUCACCUCUUCCAAUGGCACCCAUCACCCCUCACAUUUUCUCUACUUUUAUCCCUAUUUCUCUCUCUCUCUCCGCAGUGAAGCAGUGACGACGGUACCCGUUUGGCAGUGGCUGACAUGAGCAGGGGUCUGUCAAGGAGGGCUGUUAGGCUAGUGGCGAGACGGAAACCCAUCUGGGAGGCCUUUGGAUGCAGAUGAUCUCCACAUGAAGUUGAUUUAGAUGUGAAGUGAGACAGAUUUCUAAUGUCCUCAUUGUGUUAAGGUAUUUAUUGUCUCAAAUGUCUUAUUUCUACAGCUUGUGAUGUGAAGGUUUUUGGGAGCCCUUUGUCUCUCUUGGCAGCAGUUGAUUGUGACGGCACGUUUCUGCACACAUCCAAGAACCUUCUGUCCUAUCUACUGAUACCUCGAUCUGGUCUCCCUCAGCCAUCUUGUUCCUCAUAAAUUUUUCACCAUGCUGUGAUCAAAGCUCACCACUGUAUUUGUGUUCUGUUGUAAUGGCCAAAGGAUGUAACAUAAAAUUGUAAAUUACGAUCCAUCCUAUAUCAGGCCAAGUGUUGACAUGGCUUUUACUUUGUGGGUUUUUAACGUGAUUGAUUUAUUUUGUUUAGAUGGGCAGGAAGGUACAGGAAUGUUUGGUGCUGUAGGCGCGUCAGUGGGUGACCCGCUUUCAUAUGCCGUGCACUUGUCUCAAUAGUGCAGCCAGGCCAUGCUUUUU